UGGGGAAUAUUGCACAAUGGGCGCAAGCCUGAUGCAGCGACGCCGCGUGAGGGAUGACGGCCUUCGGGUUGUAAACCUCUUUCAGUGGGGAAGAAGCGAAAGUGACGGUACCUGCAGAAGAAGCGCCGGCUAACUACGUGCCAGCAGCCGCGGUAAUACGUAGGGCGCAAGCGUUAUCCGGAAUUAUUGGGCGUAAAGAGCUCGUAGGCGGUUUGUCGCGUCUGCCGUGAAAGUCCGGGGCUCAACUCGGGUUCUGCGGUGGAUACGGGCUGGCUAGAGGUAGGUAGGGGAGAACGGAAUUCCUGGUGUAGCGGUGAAAUGCGCAGAUAUCAGGAGGAACACCGAUGGCGAAGGCGGGUCUCUGGGCAGUAACUACGCUGAGGAGCGAAAGCAUGGGGAGCGAACAGGAUUAGAUACC
rnacentral:rRNA from 1 species